rnacentral:rRNA from 1 species
CUCUUAUGGAGAGUUUGAUCCUGGCUCAGGACGAACGCUGGCGGCAUGCCUAAUACAUGCAAGUCGAGCGA